rnacentral:rRNA from 1 species
UGGUAGUGUAUUGGACAACCAUGGCGAUCACGGGUAACGGGGAAUUAGGGUUCGAUUCCGGAGAGGGAGCCUGAGAAAUGGCUACCACAUCUAAGGAAGGCAGCAGGCGCGUAAAUUACCCAAUCCUAAUUCAGGGAGGUAGUGACAAGAAAUAACAACUCGGGCCUCACACGAGGUUACGAGAUUGCAAUGAGGACAAUUUAAACCACUUAUCGAGUAACAAUUGGAGGGCAAGUCUGGUGCCAGCAGCCGCGGUAAUUCCAGCUCCAAUAGCGUAUAUUAAAGUUGUUGCAGUUAAAAAGCUCGUAGUUGAAUUUCUGGCCGGACCUAUUCUUGGCUCUCGUAGUCGGCUUAGGUCUUGGUCAUCCGUAUGGGAAGCUAGCUCGGCCUUCACUGGUCGGUUAGUGGAUCAUACACUUUACUUUGAAAAAAUUAGAGUGUUUCAGGCAGGCAAUUGCUUGGAUACUGCAGCAUGGAAUAAUGGAAUAGGACUUUGACCUAUUUGUUGGUUUCUUCGAGGUCAAAGUAAUGAUUAAUAGGGACAGUUGGGGGCAUUCGUAUUUAAUUGUCAGAGGUGAAAUUCUUGGAUUUAUUAAAGACGAACUUAUGCGAAAGCAUUUGCCAAGGAUGUUUUC